rnacentral:rRNA from 1 species
UACGUAGGGUCCGAGCGUUGUCCGGAAUUAUUGGGCGUAAAGCGCGUGUAGGCGGCCAGAUAGGUCUGCUGUGAAAACUCGAGGCUCAACCUCGAGCUGUCGGCGGAAACCAUUUGGCUAGAGUCCGGAAGAGGAGAAUGGAAUUCCCGGUGUAGCGGUGAAAUGCGCAGAUAUCGGGAGGAACACCAGUAGCGAAGGCGGCACUCUGGGCCGGUACUGGACGCUGA